GAGGGUGUAGCUCAGUGGAGGAGGGCAUGCCUAGCAUGCAUGAGGUCCCGGGUUCAGCCCCCAGCACCUCCA
rnacentral:tRNA from 1 species